rnacentral:rRNA from 1 species
GUCUGUGAUCAUGCCACCUUGAACACUUCUGAUCUUCUCUGAUCUUGGAAACUAAGCAGGGUCAGGCCUGGUUAGUACUUGGAUGGGAGGCAGAUAAGUAAGUUCCAGAAU